AUUGAACGCUGGCGGCAGGCCUAACACAUGCAAGUCGGACGGUAGCACAGAGGAGCUUGCUCCUCGGGUGACGAGUGGCGGACGGGUGAGUAAUGUCUGGGGAUCUGCCCGAUAGAGGGGGAUAACCACUGGAAACGGUGGCUAAUACCGCAUAACGUCGCAAGACCAAAGAGGGGGACCUUCUGGCCUCUCACUAUCGGAUGAACCCAGAUGGGAUUAGCUAGGAGGCGGGGUAAUGGCCCACCUAGGCGACGAUCCCUAGCUGGUCUGAGAGGAUGACCAGCCACACUGGAACUGAGACACGGUCCAGACUCCUACGGAGGCAGCAGUGGGGAAUAUUGCACAAUGGGCGCAAGCCUGAUGCAGCCAUGCCGCGUGUAUGAAGAAGGCCUUCGGGUUGUAAAGUACUUUCAGCGGGGAGGAAGGCGAUGUGGUUAAUAACCUUGUCGAUUGACGUUACCCGCAGAAGAAGCACCGGCUAACUCCGUGCCAGCCGCCGCCGUAA
rnacentral:rRNA from 1 species